UGUCAACUUUGGUUAUCCUACAGGUUCUUACCAGAACAGGAUCUGAUGGCUUAUUAGAGGGUGUGCCCCCUCAUGAACUACAUACUGUAGUUUUACUGCUGAUGUUACAGCUCUUACAGUACAUCUCGCUGCCUUCCUCACAUACCAGCUGGAAGAUUGGAAGGAACAACUACAUUGCAUCUUACAGCUGGUCUACCUGCUUGAGUUGGCUGUCUCCGCUACAGCUCCUAUUAUGGGUCUGCGUUGCCCGGGCCACUAUACCUCCUUACGGGACAUACCCCCUGAGGUAUUACUGGGGAAGAACCUCCCACCACAUUCUCAC